ensembl:snRNA U1 U1 spliceosomal RNA
AUACUUACCUGGCAGGGGAGAUACCAUGAUCAUGAAGGUGGUUUUCCCAGGGCGAGGCUUAUCCAUUGCACUCCGGAUGUGCUGACCCCUGCGAUUUCCCCAAAUGUGGGAAACUCGACUGCAUAAUUUGUGGUAGUGGGGGACUGCGUUCGUGCUCUCCCCAC